GCGGAGGAAAAGAAACCAACAGGGAUUGCCCCAGUAACGGCGAGUGAAGCGGCAACAGCUCAAAUUUGAAAUCUGGCUUCGGCCCGAGUUGUAAUUUGCAGAGGAAGCUUUAGGCGCGGCACCAUCUGAGUCCCCUGGAACGGGGCGCCAUAGAGGGUGAGAGCCCCGUAUAGAUGGACGCUAAGCCUGUGUAAAGCUCCUUCGACGAGUCGAGUAGUUUGGGAAUGCUGCUCAAAAUGGGAGGUAAAUUUCUUCUAAAGCUAAAUAUUGGCCAGAGACCGAUAGCGCACAAGUAGAGUGAUCGAAAGAUGAAAAGCACUUUGAAAAGAGGGUUAAAUAGCACGUGAAAUUGUUGAAAGGGAAGCGCUUGUGACCAGACUUGCGCCUGGCUGAUCAUCCGGUGUUCUCACCGGUGCACUCUGCCAGGCUCAGGCCAGCAUCGGUUCUCGCGGGGGGAUAAAGGCCCUGGGAACGUAGCUCCUCCGGGAGUGUUAUAGCCCAGGGUGCAAUGCCCUCGCGGGGACCGAGGUUCGCGCAUCUGCAAGGAUGCUGGCGUAAUGGUCAUCAGCGACCCGUCUUGAAACACGGACCAAGGAGUCAAGGUUUUGCGCGAGUGUUUGGGUGUCAAACCCGCACGCGUAAUGAAAGUGAACGUAGGUGAGAGCUUCGGCGCAUCAUCGACCGAUCCUGAUGUUUUCGGAUGGAUUUGAGUAGGAGCGUUAAGCCUUGGACCCGAAAGAUGGUGAACUAUGCUUGGAUAGGGUGAAGCCAGAGGAAACUCUGGUGGAGGCUCGCAGCGGUUCUGACGUGCAAAUCGAUCGUCAAAUCUGAGCAUGGGGGCGAAAGA
rnacentral:rRNA from 1 species